GCGUCGGGCCAAGUGCGCGAGUGUCGUCACAUCCGGUAUUCGGGGUGGCGCUGUACCGGGGCCGACGCGCGAGACGCGGUAUACACGUAGCCCAUCAGGCCAGCACCCUGAAGCGAUGCACGCGCUGCUACGCGGAAAAGGGAGGAGGAAGAGGGAGGAAAAAGGUGCACGGCACUAAGAAAUCACUUCAUCGCAGCAGAUGCUACCGCGAGGUGUAGGGGAGUAGGGAGCAGGAGAGGAAGGUAACUCGGCCCGAUUUCUUUUUUUCUCCCCCUCUCCCCCUUAUCGUGACGCGCUCGUGCGGGACUUGAGAAAAGUGCAUUCAUUUUCCCGGUUUGAUGUCCGUAAAAAGAGGAAUAAACUCCCAAUUUUAAACAGAACUAGAUAAAAUACUUCGGUCGAGAUGUGCGCGAUUAUACGAGAAAUCAUUUACCGAGUCACUGUUAUAAUUUUUCUUCAACGUUAAAUAUAUCUAAUUAAACUUCCAAUUAAAUUCUAUUAAAGUUGGACUGACUAAAUGUGUGUGACGUUGCUAUUUUUGUAUCUUUAAAGUUUAAUUGAUAAAACGCUCACAUUUUUUGCGAUUGUUGUAAAAUUGUUCCAUAUGUAAUCAAGUAUGACAGAUUGAUAGAUUGACUCGAUAUCGCAAAAUUCAUUCGAGUUUUAUCACGCGCGAAGCAAAAUGCCAGCUCUCGGAUGGACACAUCGAUCUCAUCGUUAUAAAUAAGGAGCAUUAGUUAUGCACAGCGAUAAUUGUAUGAUCAACAUCGAUAAAUGCGAUGACAUACAAGGUGUUUUCGAAAAGACGUAUAUCCAUCCGAUUAUUUGUAAAAGAAACAUUAAAAUGAUAUUUUUUGUUCAGAGAGAAAGCUAUUCCACAAUCAUUAUAUUUAAGAGCUAUCUUGGAAGUAAUAAAAUAUGUAACAUACAAUUAUCAGUGUCCGAUACGAAUCCCAUACAAAAUGGGAUUGAUGACACAUUGAAUAAUGAAAGCAUUAAAAGAGAAAGAUGCAAUAAAAUAGAUGGAUACAAUAAAAAAUAAAUAGAAUUCAUUUAAUGGACUAAUUCAAACAUAUAAUUUUCAUAAUGAAGAAUUCAUCUUUCUCAUCGACAACUUAUAUUAUCGUUCUAAAUGCAAAAUUUGCAUUAAUUUGUUAUUAUUAUCUCGUAAAGAUAUAAUUAAAUUAUUUCUGAGUAGAUAGUCACAUGUAAGACUCCAGCUCAUUUAGCAGUUACGAUAUGAUCAAAUUACACGUGUUAUAACAGUCAAUUAGAUAUUCCAUUGGUAAUUCAUUGAAAACAUUUCUUUAGGAAUUUUUGAGCUUUUAUAACAACAUACUUUUUUUCGCAAAAAAAAAAACAAGCAAAAACUUAUAAUAAUAAAUUAUAUUCCAUUUUGUCUUACUCUUUCAUAACAUAAAUCUGUAUUUGAUAAAAAAUUUAUGCAAACAUAUUCGAGAUAAUAUCAACAGCGGUGUGUGGUGUGAGGGGGGGGGGGAGAGGGGGAGAUGACGGAAAAAAUAAACGGAGACGUGGGAGGGAAUGGAGCAAAAUGUAAGAGGAAGAAACGAUAGAGGGAUUGAGAAGGAUAGCGAAGGAAACACAUGCCGUGAAGGCUCGUGCCACGACGAUCUAAGGCGUAUCUCGCGAGCAGUUGCAGCUGCCUCACCGCGCGCGCGGCACAGCCGCAGCACAAACCGCCCUGUCGAGAGAGCCCCCUCCCUCCACCUCUCCUUCCUCCGUUCUCCGACGCGUCUCGUCGCGUCGCGUUUCUCGACCUACGGGGCACGCGGCGCGGCACCGGAGGGGCCCAUUGCGUCCUUAAAACGAGCCGUUGUCCCCGGGCACCUUCCCUUCGCCGCGUCCGAGCUCUCCUUUCGAUCUCUCUCUCUCUCUCUUCCCCAAAAACCCCGCUACCGAUCGCGCCGCACCGAGGUGCCGGUCGAAAGGUGGUUAGACGCUUCGAGGGGGAGAGGGUGGGACGCACUUCGCACCUGGACUCUUCCUUCGUAGCGCGUGCAGAAACGCGAACGUGCAUGACGGCGGCGGCGAUUGGCCUCUCUCUUUCUAUCCCCCCCCCUCUCUCUCUCUCUCUCUCUCUCUUUCUCUCUCUCUCUCUAUCGCAGUCUCCCCGUGCCAACGGCAAUUAAGAACCUGCCGCACGAUUGUCUUCCUCCGGGUGCAACAGACUGAUUCAUACCACUGUAACCCCACAGUGAUGCGAUCAACGGUCUUACAGACGGACAUCAAAAUUCUUUUUUAUUUAAAGUAAACUAUAUAAAUUUUGUUCUAAAAUAUAUUCUUUAUCAUACACACUUUAAUAAAUAAAGCUUAAAAAAGAUAAAAAUAUAAUUUGAUGUAAAAUUCCUAAAAUAAAUGACAGAUGUCUGUCAAGUAUUUCGAAAGUUAAAAAAGUAUUACAGUUCUUAAAUCAAUUUUUAUCUUUUUAUAUAUAAUUCAUAUAAUCUUCUGAACACGACGUAAUAGCUGCAAUCGCAUUGAAAAUCCGUUUUACCAAUUUAUUUGGCGGCGGACAGGCGAAACGAAAAGAGAGAGAGAGAGAGAGAGAGAGAGGAUAAAAGAGAGAAAGAGAGCGUUAGAAGCUGUACGCCUGGUUAGACAAAUUUGAUCGUUGUCGAACAUUUGACAGCGAUUGGGCAGAGAUAUAUUCAGUUACCGGGUUUAACGCGAGAACCUAGCAUCGUAACAUGAUAACCAAUCAUCUCGUCUUUGUUCUUUUUCGAAGAAGAAUCGGCCGUGGCGUUGAACCCCAUCAGCUAAUGGAUCAGCGAAUCGUCUCGUAUUAUGCGAGAAAUUUCGUUGAGAAAGUAUCAAACAAAAUCUACUAAAAAUACAUUACAGUCUUCAAUCAUACUGCGAGGAAAAACAAAGGAAAAACAAAGGGAAAAAAUAAAUUAAUAGACUUAUAACAUUAUAAAUGAAAAAUGUUAAAAGUAUUCGUCUCUCGCUAAAUUUUAUACAAUAAAUUUGAAACAUACUAUAUGUCUGGAUUAUCCGGGUAUAUCGUUAUAUGAGUUUUCAUUUAGCGAUUGAUCCCUCGAGAAAGCAUAAACCGUGCAAAUUUCUUUCCUCCUAGCGAUCUGACACUUCUCUUUGUGCUGCACCUUUCAGAAGAUCUCUAACUUAAAAUAACCACCCAAUUUUUUUUCGCCCUAGUCUCCCAAACUUCUUUUAUUUCCGAAAGCGGUUCUCAAAUGGUACUCGAAUCCAUCGUUUCCCAGGAUGGUGGGAUCGAUAGUUGAUAAAAGGUUCGGUCGGGCUGUUUUAUCCUUGGUCCUGCCGGCGGGUGAAACGGCCUGGGAGUUUCGUCACCAUGACCGAGAGAGAAAAGCAGAAAGAGGUGGCGGAAAACGAACACUAUGGAGAAACACUUAGUUGCCGUCGUGUUUAAUACACGUCGAAAAGCUUUCAUUGUCAUCGUCGUCGUCGCCACCGUCGUAUUUCUCUCUAAGAGAAGUUCUUUAACGUUGUCCCAAUCCAUGGAACGUUUGCGACGAGAUAACCGAUGAAAGAUGUUGAUCCUAGUAUCGCGAUGGCGUUGAAAAGAAAAAUACCGCGAAUUCAUCGAUGUCGGCUUAACGCGAAGAAAUGCGCUAGAAUCGCGCACGCUUUCUUUGGAUAGAAUCAUUCAUAUUGUGGCACCAUAUUACUUCCCAUUUUAUUAUUUUAUAUUUUAUUUGUAUCGUUAUUUUAUAUCGCUAGCAAAAUUUAAGAUCAGAGCCUUUCAUUAACGUUAAGUCGUUAAUUGCAACACUUGUUCUAUGACUGCAAUAUUUCGUAAGCCUUUUCCGUCAAUGCAUAAUAAAUUUUUUUUUCUACUGGACAAUAUCUUAACUUAUUGUGUUUAUUUAGAAACAUUAAAUAACAAUAGAAAAAUAAAGGCAUAAUUAAAGAUAUGCAUAUAUUGAUAAAUAAAAACUGAUUUUGUUUUCCUUUUCACAGGUGCUGUAAAUCCUUGAAUCAAAAUUUGCGUUCGACAAGUAGUACGCUGGAAUCGAGAGGAAACAUCGGCAACAUCGUUGCAAGACCGCCCUUCCGAGAGAUCGUUAUUGGGGGUCACGUAGAUUAUUCCGGGGCGGGCGUCAUUUCCGCGUGGGCGUGUGCCGCUAGAGGGGGAUGAACAAGGAAAACGACGACAAGGACAACGAAAGGGAGUGUGAUUAUCCCUCUCAUGUUGCUCUAGGAUUAGAUCGCGCCAGACACAACAGCUGGAGUGAAUUUUUGAAACUCUAGAUGGUGUCUAUUUCCUGCGAUCUCUUCCGAUGAAAGUACAGAAUGGCGCUCUAUAAUCUUCGCCAUUAUCGCGUUAUUAUACGAUAUUACAUAUCUACCACUUAAGAAAAACUCUGAUUUAUGCAUUUUAUGUCCAGUUAUGCCGUCCAAUUAUUUGUCCAUUUCUUCAUUAAUUAAAGCUCCCAUUUCUUGUCUGUAUAUUUUAUUGUAUUUACUUGUCAACAGGUGUUUUAAUUUAUUUUCAUAUUAUAAAUAUAUUUUAACGUUUUUAAAACUA